GAUGAACGCUAGCGGCAGGCCUAACACAUGCAAGUCGAGGGGUAACUAGAGUGAUAGCAAUAUUACUUUGGCUAGACCGGCGCACGGGUGCGUAACACGUAUGCAACCUACCUUAUACUGGGGAAUAACAUCGAGAAAUCGGCGCUAAUACCCCAUAACAUUGCGAAGAGGCAUCUCUUUGCAAUUAAAGCUCCGGCGGUAUAAGAUGGGCAUGCGUCCAAUUAGCUAGUUGGGGAGGUAACGGCUCACCAAGGCUACGAUUGGUAGGGGUUCGGAGAGGAAGAUCCCCCACACUGGUACUGAGACACGGACGAGAAUCCUACGGGAGGCAGCAGUGAGGAAUAUUGCGCAAUGGACGAAAGUCUGACGCAGCCAUGCCGCGUGCAGGAUGACGGCCCUAUGGGUUGUAAACUGCUUUUGUACGGGAAUAAACCCUUCUACGUGUAGGAGGCUGAAGGUACCGUAAGAAUAAGCACCGGCUAACUCCGUGCCAGCCGCCGCCGUAAGAC
rnacentral:rRNA from 1 species